rnacentral:rRNA from 1 species
CCUACGGGGGGCAGCAGUGAGGAAUAUUGGUCAAUGGACGAGAGUCUGAACCAGCCAAGUAGCGUGAAGGAUGACUGCCCUAUGGGUUGUAAACUUCUUUUAUAUGGGAAUAAAAUGUUCCACGUGUGGGAUUUUGUAUGUACCAUAUGAAUAAGGAUCGGCUAACUCCGUGCCAGCAGCCGCGGUAAUACGGAGGAUCCGAGCGUUAUCCGGAUUUAUUGGGUUUAAAGGGCGCGUAGGUGGAUUGUUAAGUCAGUUGUGAAAGUUUGCGGCUCAACCGUAAAAUUGCAGUUGAUACUGGCAGUCUUGAGUACAGUAGAGGUAGGCGGAAUGCGUGGUGUAGCGGUGAAAUGCUUAGAUAUCGCGAAGAACUCCGAUUGCGAAGGCAGUUCACUGGACUGCAACUGACGCUGAGGCUCGAAAGUGUGGGUAUCAAACAGGAUUAGAUACCCUUGUAGUC